CCUACGGGGUGCAGCAGUGAGGAAUAUUGGUCAAUGGGCGCGAGCCUGAACCAGCCAAGUAGCGUGAAGGAUGACUGCCCUACGGGUUGUAAACUUCUUUUAUAAAGGAAUAAAGUGAGUCACGUGUGCCUUUUUGUAUGUACUUCAUGAAUAAGGACCGGCUAACUCCGUGCCAGCAGCCGCGGUAAUACGGAGGAUCCGGGCGUUAUCCGGAUUUAUUGGGUUUAAAGGGAGCGUAGGUGGAUUGUUAAGUCAGUUGUGAAAGUUUGCGGCUCAACCGUAAAAUUGCAGUUGAAACUGGCAGUCUUGAGUACAGUAAAGGUAGGCGGAAUUCGUGGUGUAGCGGUGAAAUGCUUAGAUAUCACGAAGAACUCCGAUUGCGAAGGCAGCUCACUGGACUGCAACUGACACUGAGGCUCGAAGGUGUGGGUAUCGAACAGGAUUAGAUACCCUGGUAGUC
rnacentral:rRNA from 1 species